UACGUAGGGUGCAAGCGUUGUCCGGAAUUAUUGGGCGUAAAGAGCUCGUAGGCGGUUUGUCGCGUCUGCUGUGAAAUCCCGAGGCUCAACCUCGGGCUUGCAGUGGGUACGGGCAGACUAGAGUGCGGUAGGGGAGAUUGGAAUUCCUGGUGUAGCGGUGGAAUGCGCAGAUAUCAGGAGGAACACCGAUGGCGAAGGCAGAUCUCUGGGCCGUAACUGACACUGAGAGACGUAAGCUAGGGGAGCGAAUGGG
rnacentral:rRNA from 1 species